rnacentral:rRNA from 1 species
GAUGAACGCUGGCUACAGGCUUAACACAUGCAAGUCGAGGGGAAACGACGGGGAAGCUUGCUUCCCCGGGCGUCGACCGGCGCACGGGUGAGUAACGCGUAUCCAACCUGCCUCUGACUGAGGGAUAACCCGUCGAAAGUCGGCCUAAUACCUCAUGGCAUCGUCUGCGGGCAUCCAACGACGAUUAAAGAUUUCAUCGGUCAGGGAUGGGGAUGCGUCUGAUUAGCUUGUUGGCGGGGUAACAGCCCACCAAGGCGACGAUCAGUAGGGGUUCUGAGAGGAAGGUCCCCCACAUUGGAACUGAGACACGGUCCAAACUCCUACGGGAGGCAGCAGUGAGGAAUAUUGGUCAAUGGGCGGAAGCCUGAACCAGCCAAGUAGCGUGCAGGAAGACGGCCCUAUGGGUUGUAAACUGCUUUUAUGCGGGGAUAAAGUGAGGGACGUGUCCUUCAUUGCAGGUACCGCAUGAAUAAGGACCGGCUAAUUCCGUGCCAGCAGCCGCGGUAAUACGGAAGGUCCGGGCGUUAUCCGGAUUUAUUGGGUUUAAAGGGAGCGUAGGCCGUGGAUUAAGCGUGUUGUGAAAUGCAGGUGCUCAACGUCUGCACUGCAGCGCGAACUGGUCCACUUGAGUGUGCGCAACGCAGGCGGAAUUCGUCGUGUAGCGGUGAAAUGCUUAGAUAUGACGAAGAACUCCGAUUGCGAAGGCAGCUUGCGGGAGCACAACUGACGCUGAAGCUCGAAAGUGCGGGUAUCGAACAGG